rnacentral:rRNA from 1 species
AUUGAACGCUGGCGGCAUGCUUUACACAUGCAAGUCGAACGGCAGCGCGGGCUUCGGCCUGGCGGCGAGUGGCGAACGGGUGAGUAAUACAUCGGAACGUGCCCAGUUGUGGGGGAUAGCUCGGCGACAGCCGGAUUAAUACCGCAUACGACCUGAGGGUGAAAGCGGGGGAUCUUCGGACCUCGCGCUCUUGGAGCGGCCGAUGGCAGAUUAGCUAGUUGGUGGGGUAAAGGCCUACCAAGGCGACGAUCUGUAGCUGGUCUGAGAGGACGACCAGCCACACUGGGACUGAGACACGGCCCAGACUCCUACGGGAGGCAGCAGUGGGGAAUUUUGGACAAUGGGCGAAAGCCUGAUCCAGCAAUGCCGCGUGUGUGAUGAAGGCCUUCGGGUUGUAAAGCACUUUUGGCGGGAAAGAAAAGGACUGUGCCAAUACCACGGUUCGAUGACGGUACCCGCAGAAUAAGCACCGGCUAACUACGUG